AAUGAACGCUGGCGGCGUGCUUAACACAUGCAAGUCGAACGCGAAAGUCCUUCGGGAUGAGUAAAGUGGCGAACGGGUGCAUAACGCGUAGGAAUCUACCCUUGGGUGAAGGAUACCCUAGAGAAAUUUAGGCUAAUACUGCAUAAGCCGGGAAACCGGGAAAGGUGGCCUCUUGCUACCGCACAAGGAUGAGCCUGCGUACUAUUAGUUAGUUGGUGAGGUAAAGGCUCACCAAGACGAAGAUGGUUAGCUGGCCUGAGAGGGUGUACAGCCACAAUGGGACUGAGAUACGGCCCAUACUCCUACGGGAGGCAGCAGUGGGGAAUAUUGCACAAUGGGCGAAAGCCUGAUGCAGCGACGCCGCGUGGAGGAUGAAGGUUUUCGGAUUGUAAACUCCUGUUAAGUGGGAAGAAAGAACACGGGUUAAUACCCCGUGGAGAUGACGGUACCACUAGAGAAAGCACCGGCUAACUUCGUG
rnacentral:rRNA from 1 species